rnacentral:rRNA from 1 species
GAUGAACGCUGGCGGCGUGCCUAAUACAUGCAAGUCGAACGGGGAGUAGCAAUACUCUUAGUGGCGAACGGGUGAGUAACGCGUUGGUACCUGCCCCGAAGCGGGGGAUAACGGACCGAAAGGUCCGCUAAUACCCCAUGUGCUCGGUAACGAGUAAAGGUGAAAACCACUUUGGGAGGGGCCUGCGUCCCAUCAGCUAGUUGGUAAGGUAACGGCUUACCAAGGCGAUGACGGGUAGGGGACCUGAGAGGGUGGCCCCCCACAAUGGAACUGAAACACGGACCAUACACCUACGGGUGGCAGCAGUAGGGAAGAUUGGUAAUGGGCGCAAGCCUGAACCAGCAACGCCGCGUGUGCGAUGACGGCCUUCGGGUUGUAAAGCACUUUUGACUGGGACGAGGAAGGACGGUACCGGUCGAAUCAGCCGCGGCUAACUACGU